rnacentral:rRNA from 1 species
UACGGAGGGUGCGAGCGUUGUCCGGAAUCACUGGGCGUAAAGGGCGCGUAGGCGGCUCAUGAAGGCUGUGGUGAAAGUCCGGGGCUCAACCUCGGAUCGGCCGUGGCGACUCGUGGGCUGGAGCACUGUAGAGGCGGGUGGAAUUCCUGGUGUAGCGGUGAAAUGCGUAGAUAUCAGGAGGAACACCGGUGGCGAAGGCGGCUACCUGGACAGAAACUGACGCUGAGGCGCGAAAGCUAGGGGAGCAAACAGG